rnacentral:piRNA from 1 species
GCCAGGACGUAGCCUUGACGGGAAUGG